rnacentral:rRNA from 1 species
GGAAUAUUGGUCAAUGGAGGGAACUCUGAACCAGCCAUGCCGCGUGCGGGAGGAAGGCCCUAGUGGUCGUAAACCGCUUUUGACGGGGGGCAAUAAGGGCGAUGCGUCGUCCGAUGAGAGUACCCGUCGAAUAAGCAUCGGCUAACUCCGUGCCAGCAGCCGCGGUAAUACGGAGGAUGCGAGCGUUAUCCGGAUUUAUUGGGUUUAAAGGGUGCGCAGGCGGUGCGCUAAGUCAGCGGUGAAAUGUCCCGGCCCAACCGGGGAGCUGCCGUUGAUACUGGCGUGCUGGAGUGCGGACGGCGCCGGCGGAAUGAGUGGUGUAGCGGUGAAAUGCAUAGAUAUCACUCAGAACACCGAUCGCGAAGGCAGCUGGCGAGGCCGUCACUGACGCUGAGGCACGAAAGCGUGGGGAUCGAACA